CCUACGGGAGGCUGCAGUGGGGAAUAUUGGGCAAUGGGCGCAAGCCUGACCCAGCAACGCCGCGUGAAGGAAGAAGGCUUUCGGGUUGUAAACUUCUUUUCUCAGGGACGAAGAAAGUGACGGUACCUGAGGAAUAAGCCACGGCUAACUACGUGCCAGCAGCCGCGGUAAUACGUAGGGGGCAAGCGUUAGCCGGAUUUACUGGGUGUAAGGGGCGUGUAGGCGGGAAAGCAAGUCAGAUGUGAAAACCAUGGGCUCAACCUGUGGCCUGCAUUUGAAACUGUUUUUCUUGAGUACUGGAGAGGCAGACGGAAUUCCUGGUGUAGCGGUGAAAUGCGUAGAGAUUAGGAGGAACACCAGUGGCGAAGGCGGUCUGCUGGACAGCAACUGACGCUGAGGCGCGAAAGCGUGGGGAGCAAACAGGAUUAGAUACCCUAGUAGUC
rnacentral:rRNA from 1 species